rnacentral:piRNA from 1 species
UACUACAGCAAAAGGAAGGAAGACGCAGA